rnacentral:rRNA from 1 species
UACGGGGGGGGGCAAGCGUUGUUCGGAAUUACUGGGCGUAAAGGGCUCGUAGGUGGCCAACUAAGUCAGACGUGAAAAUCCCCUCGGCUUAACCGGGGAACUGCGUCUGAUACUGGAUGGCUUGAGUUCGGGAGAGGGAUGCGGAAUUCCAGGUGUAGCGGUGAAAUGCGUAGAUAUCUGGAGGAACACCGGUGGCGAAGGCGGCUCUCUGGGACGGUACUGACGCUGAGACGCGAAAGCGUGGGGAGCGAACGAGG